rnacentral:rRNA from 1 species
GGAGAGGGCUAGCGUUAUUCGGAAUUAUUGGGCGUAAAGGGCGCGUAGGCGGAUUAGUAAGUUAAAAGUGAAAUCCCAAGGCUCAACCUUGGAAUUGCUUUUAAAACUGCUAAUCUAGAGAUUGAAAGAGGAUAGAGGAAUUCCUAGUGUAGAGGUGAAAUUCGUAAAUAUUAGGAGGAACACCAGUGGCGAAGGCGUCUAUCUGGUUCAAAUCUGACGCUGAGGCGCGAAGGCGUGGGGAGCAAACAGGAUUAGAUACCCUGGUAGUCCACGCUGUAAACGAUGAAUGUUAAAUAUGGGGAGUUUACUUUCUGUACUACAGCUAACGCGUUAAACAUUCCGCCUGGGGACUACGGUCGCAAGAUUAAAACUCAAAGGAAUUGACGGGGACCCGCACAAGCGGUGGAGCAUGUGGUUUAAUUCGAUGCAACGCGAAAAACCUUACCACUCCUUGACAUGGAAAUUAUACCUAUUCGAAGGGAUAGGGUCGGUUCGGCCGGGUUUCACACAGGUGU